GCACUGUUGAGGAGUCUCACAAUAGGACGAAACACUCGUCCAGUGC
rfam:Schistosoma rodhaini strain Burundi genome assembly, scaffold: SROB_scaffold0007203